UACAGAGGGGGCAAGCGUUGUUCGGAAUUACUGGGCGUAAAGGGCGCGUAGGCGGCCUUCUAAGUCGAACGUGAAAUCCCUGGGCUCAACCCAGGAACUGCGUCCGAUACUGAAAGGCUUGAAUCCGGGAGAGGGAUGCGGAAUUCCAGGUGUAGCGGUGAAAUGCGUAGAUAUCUGGAGGAACACCGGUGGCGAAGGCGGCAUCCUGGACCGGUAUUGACGCUGAGGCGCGAAAGCGUGGGGAGCAAACAGG
rnacentral:rRNA from 1 species